GUGGGUAUGGUUCAGUGGUAGAGCAUGUGCUUAGCAUGCAUGAGGCCUUGGGUUCAGUUCCCAGUAUCAAAA
rnacentral:tRNA from 1 species